CGUGCAGUAGGGAAUAUUGAGCAAUGGGCGCAAGCCUGACUCAGCAACGCCGCGUGGAUGAAGAAGGCCUUCGGGUUGUAAAAUCCUUUCUGGGGGAAGAUAAUGACGGUACCCCAGGAAUAAGUUCCGGCUAACUACGUGCCAGCAGCCGCGGUAAAACGUAGGGGACGAGCGUUAUCCGGAUUUACUGGGCGUAAAGCGCAUGUAGGUGGCUUGAAAAGUUGGGCGUGAAAGCUCCCGGCUUAACUGGGAGAGGUCGUUCAAAACUGGCAAGCUUGAGGUUGGAAGAGGAGAGCGGAAUUCCCGGUGUAGUGGUGGAAUGCGUAGAUAUCGGGAGGAACACCAGUGGCGAAAGCGGCUCUCUGGUUCAAUACUGACACUGAGAUGCGAAAGCGUGGGGAGCGAACGGGAUUAGAUACCCCGGUAGUCCACGCUGUAAACGAUGGAUACUAGGUGUAGGCGGUCAUUAACCCCGUCUGUGCCGAAGCCAACGCGUUAAGUAUCCCGCCUGGGGACUACGGCCGCAAGGUUA
rnacentral:rRNA from 1 species